AUUGAACGCUGGCGGCAGGCUUAACACAUGCAAGUCGAGUGGAGAGAGGUAGCUUGCUACUGAUCUUAGCGGCGGACGGGUGAGUAAUGCUUAGGAAUCUGCCUAUUAGUGGGGGACAACAUUUCGAAAGGAAUGCUAAUACCGCAUACGUCCUACGGGAGAAAGCAGGGGAUCUUCGGACCUUGCGCUAAUAGAUGAGCCUAAGUCGGAUUAGCUAGCUGGUGGGGUAAAGGCCUACCAAGGCGACGAUCUGUAGCGGGUCUGAGAGGAUGAUCCGGCACGCUGGGACUGAGACACGGCCCAGACUCCUACGGGAGGCAGCAGUGGGGAAUAUUGGACAAUGGGCGCAAGCCUGAUCCAGCCAUGCCGCGUGUGUGAAGAAGGCCUUAUGGUUGUAAAGCACUUUAAGCGAGGAGGAGGCUACUUUAGUUAAUACCUAGAGAUAGUGGACGUUACUCGCAGAAUAAGCACCGGCUAACUCUGUGCCAGCCGCCGCCGUAA
rnacentral:rRNA from 1 species